rnacentral:rRNA from 1 species
AGCGAACGCUGGCGGCGUGCCUAACACAUGCAAGUUGAGCGACGAACCAGGGCUUGCCCUGGGGCAAAGCAGCGAACGGGUGAGUAACACGUGGGUAACCUACCCCGAUAACCGGGACAACCCGAGGAAACUCGGGCUAAUACCGGAUGUGCUCACUGAACUUCGGUUCAGUGCGUAAAGGAAGCUUCGGCCUCCGUAUCGGGAGGGGCCCGCGGCCCAUUAGCUAGUUGGUGAGGUAACGGCUCACCAAGGCCGCGAUGGGUAGCUGGUCUGAGAGGACGAUCAGCCACACUGGGACUGAGACACGGCCCAGACUCCUACGGGAGGCAGCAGUGGGGAAUCUUGCGCAAUGCGCGAAAGCGUGACGCAGCAACGCCGCGUGGGGGAAGAAGGCCUUCGGGUUGUAAACCCCUUUCAGGAGGGACGAAGGUUCGGCGGUGAAUAGCCGUCCGGGCUGACGGUACCUCCACAAGAAGCCCCGGCUAACUACGUGCCAGCAGCCGCCGUAA